AAUGAACGUUGGCGGCGUGGAUUAGGCAUGCAAGUCGAGCGGGAAGUAGCAAUACUUUCUGCGGCGAAAGGGUGAGUAACGCGUGGUUACGUACCCCCGGAUCUGGGAUAGCGGCGGGAAACUGCCAUUAAUACCAGAUAACGUCUACGGACCAAAGGUGUGAUUCCGUCCGGGGAUCGGACCGCGUGCUAUUUGCUAGCUGGUGAGGUAAUGGCUCACCAAGGCAAAGAUGGCUAGUGGGUGUGAGAGCACGACCCACCACACUGGGACUGAGAUACUGCCCAGACACCUACGGGUGGCUGCAGUCGAGAAUCUUCGGCAAUGGACGAAAGUCUGACCGAGCGACGCCGCGUGCGGGAUGAAGGCCCUCGGGUUGUAAACCGCUGUCGAGAAGGAACAAAUCCCUAGGGGUUCUCCCCUAGGGUUGAGUGAUCUCUGGAGGAAGGACGGGCUAAGUUCGUGCCAGCCGCCGCGGUAA
rnacentral:rRNA from 1 species